CAAAGAUGACUGAGGUGAGGAGGAGGAGGAGAAAGUCUCCUGACCAAGAUGCGCUGGAACAUAUUGUUCAAGGAAAGGAUAAAGUCUUCCUAGAGGGAAGGUUUAUUAACAAGUAUAAAGGUAGAGGUGUGUUUACAAGAGAGUACAUCGAACCAAAAAGUUUUGUGGUGGAGUACCGUGGAGUUGUCUCUCAGAGUGAAGGGGCAGAUGACAAAAACAACAAAUAUGUAUUUGAUUUCAUGUGGAAUGGGAAGCGGUAUUGGAAGCCUCUGGUGGAACUGAUGACCAAAUGACAAGGGUCCGUUCCAACCUGGAAAUAUCAAAGGAUGACACUGAAGCCUCUGGUGGAACUGAUGACCAAAUGACAAGGGUCCGUUCCAACCUGGAAAUAUCAAAGGAUGACACUGAAGCCUCUGGUGGAACUGAUGACCAAAUGACAAGGGUCCGUUCCAACCUGGAAAUAUCAAAGGAUGACACUGAAGCCUCUGGUGGAACUGAUGACCAAAUGACAAGGGUCCGUUCCAAUCUGGAAAUAUCAAAGGAUGACACUGAAGCCUCUGGUGGAACUGAUGACCAAAUGACAAGGGUCCGUUCCAACCUGGAAAUAUCAAAGGAUGACACUGAAGCCUCUGGUGGAACUGAUGACCAAAUGACAAGGGUCCGUUCCAAUCUGGAAAUAUCAAAGGAUGACACUGAAGCCUCUGGUGGAACUGAUGACCAAAUGACAAGGGUCCGUUCCAACCUGGAAAUAUCAAAGGAUGACACUGAAGCCUCUGGUGGAACUGAUGACCAAAUGACAAGGGUCCGUUCCAACCUGGAAAUAUCAAAGGAUGACACUGAAGCCUCUGGUGGAACUGAUGACCAAAUGACAAGGGUCCGUUCCAAUCUGGAAAUAUCAAAGGAUGACACUGUAAGUUGUAUACUAUAUACUUGUGAUGUCAUGCUUGUACAUCCAAUCAUAAUUCUGUUGUGUUUGAGGAUAUGACAGUGCUCAGGAGUCCACACACUGUUGAAUGUUGU
rnacentral:lncRNA from 1 species